rnacentral:rRNA from 1 species
UAGGGAAUAUUGCACAAUGGGGGAAACCCUGAUGCAGCGACGUUGCGUGAGUGAUGAAGGCUUUCGGGUUGUAAAGCUCUGUUCUUGGGGAACAAACAAAUGAGGGUACUCAAGGAGAAAGGACUGGCUAAUUUCGUGCCAGCAGCCGCGGUAAUACGAGGGGUCCGAGCGUUAUCCGGAAUUAUUGGGCGUAAAGUGGAUGUAGGUGGCUUUGUCAGUCAGGAGUGAAAACCUCGGGCUUAACCCGAGACCUGCUUUUGAUACUGCGAAGCUUGAGUUAGGGAGAGGAUAGUAGAAUUCCUGGUGUAGUGGUGAAAUACGUAGAUAUCAGGAGGAAUACCGGAGGCGAAGGCGUCUAUCUGGCCCGACACUGACACUCAGAUCCGAAAGCGUGGGGAGCAAACAGG